rnacentral:tRNA from 1 species
AGAGCUGUAGCUCAGUGGUAGAUCACAUGCUUAACAUGUGUAAAACCCUGGGUUNGAUCCCCAGUAUCCCUA